rnacentral:rRNA from 1 species
ACGGAAGGCAGCAGUAGGGAAUAUUGCACAAUGGGCGAAAGCCUGAUGCAGCGACGCCGCGUGAGUGAUGAAGUAUUUCGGUAUGUAAAGCUCUAUCAGCAGGGAAGAAAAAUGACGGUACCUGACUAAGAAGCACCGGCUAAAUACGUGCCAGCAGCCGCGGUCAUACGUAUGGUGCAAGCGUUAUCCGGAUUUACUGGGUGUAAAGGGAGCGCAGGCGGUACGGCAAGUCUGAUGUGAAAGCCCGGGGCUCAACCCCGGUACUGCAUUGGAAACUGUCGAACUAGAGUGUCGGAGGGGUAAGUGGAAUUCCUAGUGUAGCGGUGAAAUGCGUAGAUAUUAGGAGGAGCACCAGUGGCGAAGGCGGCUUACUGGACGAUAACUGACGCUGAGGCUCGAAAGCGUGGGGAGCAAACAGGAUUAGAUACACUGGUA